UACGGGGGGAGCAAGCGUUGUUCGGAAUCACUGGCUUAAAGCGCGUGUAGGCGGGACGGCACGUCGGUCGCUGAAAGCCCCCGGCUCAACCGGGGAACGGGCGCCGAUACGACCGUCCUGGAGGGACGUAGGGGGACCUGGAACUUCCGGUGGAGCGGUGAAAUGCGUUGAGAUGCGGAGGAACACCGAUGGCGAAGGCAACCCCCUGGGCUGACACUGACGCUCAGGCACGAAAGCGUGGGGAGCAAACAGG
rnacentral:rRNA from 1 species